AAGUCGUAACAAGGUUUCCGUAGGUGAACCUGCGGAAGGAUCAUUAACAUCUUAUUGAAUUGGUGGUGGUGUGGUGUUUCGGCACUCAUCAUCCUCAACCCCAUUGUGUGCAUGUAUGUGUGUGUUGUGUUGUGAGUGAGUAGAGCUUUGCUUUACUUCUCUCUCCACUUCACCUCACUCAUCUCAUUUAUACAACCCCAAACCCCUUCUUCUCAUCACACUAGACUGACUUUCAAUCCUCGUUUUCGCUCCCUACCAACGGAGCAAAACAUCAAUCAGCAUACAACUCUUAGCAACGGAUAUCUAGGCUCUC
rnacentral:misc_RNA from 1 species